rnacentral:lncRNA from 1 species
GAAAUUUGAAACAACAAAUUUUUCCGUCGAGAAAAUAAAUAAUCAAGACUGGAAAAUUGCGUAACAAAUGUAGUAUUUGAUUUCAAUAAAUAUUGAGUGUUACAAUCUCUAUGGUAUUCCUCUGAUUCUUCAAGAAUGUAAACUAUCUUGAUGAACUUGAGUUUGAUUUUGAUUCAAGGGCUUGUAAAGCUUGGUCUUGAAUCUCCUUCUUAAACUUGGAUUUGGAUUUGGUCACAAACAAGUAAUUUGAUCUCGAACGCCUUGGUAUUUGAUUUGCCUUCGUUCUUGAUCUUAAACUUGAACUUGAACUUGAACUUGAACUUGUAGCUUGAGUGCUUGAACUUGUAGUUUGAUCCACGAGCUCUCUGCUUGCUUCUUGUUAUCACUGGUGUCUUCUAUCUUUAUGAAGACCUCUAUUUAUAGUUGUAGGGAGUGGUGUGACUCUGCGAUUUGAUUGGUCCAUUUGAACUGACAAAUACCAUCCAAACACUUUGCACAAGUUGUUGAUUUGACUUGGUAAUGCCACCCUCUCUUGACACAUGGUAUCAUUUCAUUGGCUCAUUUAUUUAUCUUGGAUCACCAUAUCAUUUGACACGUGUCUUGAUUUUAUUGGCUCAUUCUUUUGACUUGAAUUGCUACAUCACUUAAUCUGUGGCAUGAGCCUGGACUUUAAGAUGGGGUUAAUAGCCAUUUGGACCUUGGGCCAAUAAAGUGGACUUAUCAUUUAAUUUGUAGUCCAACUAAAUGGACUAACCCAACACUUAUAUUUUGGAUUUAAAUAAUUAACCCCAUUUACUAGCCACACUAUUUGUUUUGAUUAAUGUCUUGUAUUUAAUAUGGUCCAAAUUAUUUUAUGGAUUUAAAUCCGAUAAAAUUUAAAUGCUUACAACCAUUUUUAAGGGCGAGUCAACCAAAUUCCAAUUUCUUUCUUUGAAUAGUGAAGAUGCCAAAUCACGUCAUCCCUAUAUCUUACUCCCUCUGUUUCAAUUUAGACGAUGUAGUAUGACUCGGUACAGAGUUUAAGAGAAAAGAUGAAGUUUUUUGAAACUUGUCGUCUUAAAAGUUUUGUAGAGUCAUAACAUUUGUGUGGUUAUAAAAGCUUCUCAUUAAAGGUAAAAUAAAUAAAAUGAAAAGUUUAAAAUUAAAUUAUUUUCAAUUAUAGAAAUGUGUCAUUCUUUCUUUAGGGAGGGGUUCUUGGGAAAAGAUCCAUAUGUAACUUGGAUAGAUCUAAUCAACUAAUUAUUUACCAGAAUUUGGUUAUAAACUAUUUGAAUAUAUUAAGAAUUUGGUUAUUAUUAAGAAUUUGGAUCCUCAACUAUGAAAUCUAGCUACUCUAUUAUCUUUUGUUUCUUGGGGAAAGAUCCAGAAGUAAUUUUUGAAAUCAAGCUACUCUACGUACUCUUUGUUCAUUAUUCCUGGGCUUUUUGAUAAUUUUCCUUUUUUGCCUAAUUUAUCAUUAUUUAAGGCCUGAUUAAUAUCUUUCAAUAUCAUCUAGCAUAGACUAUAUAAUGUAAAACAAGACAUAAAAAUAUGAAUCUUUGACAAAUGAUCAAAUAUGAAAUUGCAAAAGGAAAAAGAAAAUUAAAACUUAUAAGAGAAAUCUAACCUUUUAGUGUUGAGAGUGGCUACAGAGAGAUAAAUUGCUCCAAAGGUUCUUUAGCUUUAUGAUUUCGGGCAAGAGAAAUGAAGAGGAAGUAUAUAAUAGCAAAGCAAAUAUAUCGUGAACUUUCCAAAUUGAAGAAAAUUGUGAUAAGUCAACUUAUACUAAUCUUGCUUGAAUUGGAAUCUCAAUAGUGAAAUCUGUGGGCAAGUG